rnacentral:lncRNA from 1 species
CAUGAAGCUUUUUCUUGUACUUUUGUAGCAUGAGGUGCUUGAAGUUUUCUUGUGAAUGUGAUGACAUAUUUCUUAUUAAUUUUUGCUGUUUGAGUCACCAAAAUCGUAUCCCUGUUGAGUGUUGACCAGAUACCAGAUGUCGAUCAAAAUUCCGGCAGCCACGAAACUAUCAACUAUGGCGGAUGCACCCCUUAUGGCCUCAUCAAUCAUCAACCCAAAAUCGUAUUCAGUCGUCAAACCACAACACUAAUCUUCGCGUCACCCCUCUCUGAAAGUAAAGGACUCGUGCUGCAUGGAAAACAUUUUAGUCGGCGCCGGUUUUUUCGUUGAAGCGGUUCGAGAGUCAAUUGAGGUUGGGAUGGGAUCAGUUACACGAUCGUCUGGCGAUUCUAAUUCUGAAGAAGCAAAGCCGAACAGAAAAAGAGCCAACACAAUCACCAGUUGCCAUGACAACAAAAUCCUCAUCUGGAGCGGAUUUCUGCCGCUUUCCUAUCAGAAUUGGUGCCAUACGCGGAAGAUGGUUACUGCCGAGGCUGAUUCGGCGACGGAACGCUACAAAGCUCCUUACUCCGACUGGCGCUGGUUCUCCAAGUGAAGAACAAUAAGAUAGUCUCUGUCUGGCUUUAUUUCUCUUUGUUGAUGGAAUUUAAUACAUAAUAGUGAAACCGGGAAAUAAUUGGCGCAGGAUUUUCCAUGGCUUCUUGCUCAGUAUUCAUUGGAGCAGCGUCGUCACAGUUUUUCACAGACCCAGUAACACACGAGGUUUUCCGACGUCUCGCGAGCAUCAAGAAUUGAGAUUACCUUUGAUUAGCGGUCUAGACUGAAGACGGGGGUGUGGAUAUUUCUUUAACAGACGAAAUCUUCAAUUAUUGAAAAUGGCAUCGAACAGUAAACAACAAUUUUUUUACUUUACAUAUUAUCCAAUUAAAAAAACAAUUGUAGUAAAACUUUUAUGAUCCAUGGGAUAUAGCAACUGAAUCAAGGGGCGAGUGAAAUGCUGGUUGAUGAAACAAAGCUAUUGGAAAAAGAAACUUCUAAUAGCAAGUCAAGCUUUUGGUGUUGGGGGCUUUCGAAAAUGAAAAGAAGACAUGUCACAAUAUAUGUCUUAGAGAAUUGGGAGAUGUGAAAACAACAAUGAAUAACUCUCAGAUGCUGGCCUUACCCUGUUCUGAUAUCCUUGACGGAACACGUUUUUUCGUUGUUUUUAGAAAACGUGUUUUUCUAUUCUCGUAUACCUACACUCAAUAAGAUUCGACUUCAAACCCGUCGGUCAAGCUGAGCUGAGAGGAUUGGGAAGACACGGUCUUGAUGCCCGUUAGGGAGCUGGGGUCACAGAAAAGGGAGCCCAGAUAUGCACUUGUAAUUUAUCUAUGUCUACACAAAUUAUACCAGUUUUCAAUUCCAGCAAUCUCUUGUCAGUUUCCAAACAACUAUAACAGCAGAGGGAUUAACCUGAAAGAAAAGUACAUUUACCAUUUAGAACUAAGUGGUGAUCACCACAAAAUCUUGAGUAACAACAUUUUGUUGCUGUUGUCUGUAAAAUCGAUAGCACUUAAGAAUUGGAUCUGGCGAAGGCAUCAACAUCUUGAAGAUUCAAAAACUUGACAGGGAAAAUUUAACGUGAACAUUUUAAACCUUAAAGAACACAGUUGAUUAAAUUUUUGCAACAUAAUAUGAUGAAAUACCUUGAAGCAGAAAUUAUUUAGCUUCAGAAGACAUAGCUUGCGAGCUUCGGAGCUUGUAUGCACUAUUGGAUUGGAUUAGACCAUUUUAUUUCUGCUGUUACGAGCACCCGCGAGCACCUGUCAGAUGUCGCCACUGUCGUACUUGUUGUUCCUACGUCUGUCAUGAAACGACAAACGAGACGAAAUGGGCGAAACAAAUUGUUUGCUAAUUAUACUUCUAUUCCUGUGAUUUCAAAUUCUUAUAUGCAUAGCUACUGUCAGUCAUCUUCAUCCCAACAAGUUGACUUAGCGCUCAGUCAUUUUCCAUCCAUUAGAUCCUCAUGCUGUCAAAAGCCUAAAACUCAUGUUUGAAGCACACAUGUAGUGGAAUACCAAUGUGCGGAGAUAAGGUAUUUUCCCAUCUACUACCACACCAACCACACCACAUCAGAUGCCUUACUAAAUCAUCACCCAAGUGAUAAAGCAUCAGGAAAUGUAUCCCACCUGAGGAGUAAGUGCAGUUGGUUGCUGUAAUUCCAUUAUUACGGUUUUUCAUCAUGAACAUUUCAGUGUGCUUCUUAGUAAAGAGCACUAAAGAUCCACUAAAGAUCACGGACAUCCUUGAGCCAAUGCUGGAUUUGUUCAUGACAGAAGAAGGACAUCCACCAACGUUCUUCUCCAUCCUUAUCUUCAAGACGUACGCUCGCUCAUCCAGCUUCACUACUUCAGUGCUUCUUAUGCUGCUAGCCUACUACACAACUUUUCUUGCUUCACUGGCGAGUUGGAUCACUUCAUUUGCUGUGACACACCUUCAGUCACUCACCACGGGAUUAUGGCCAGGUAAUGCAGAGGAGACUUCGAGAAGAUGGACACCAAAACAUCGCCGG